UGGGGAAUAUUGGGCAAUGGGCGAAAGCCUGAUCUAGCCACGCCGCGUGUGUGAAGAAGGCCUUUUGGUUGUAAAGCUCUUUAAGCGAGGAGGAGGCAACUUGGAUUAAUACUCUAGGAUAGUGGACGUUACUCGCAGAAUAAGCACCGGCUAACUCUGUGCCAGCAGCCGCGGUAAUACUGAGGGUGCGAGCGUUACUCGGAUUUACUGGGCGUAAAGCGUGCGUAGGCGGUUUCUUAAGUCGGAUGUGAAAUCCCUGGGCUUAACUUAGGAAGUGCAUUCGAUACUGGGAAGCUAGAGUAUAGGAGAGGAUGGUAGAAUUCCAGGUGUAGCGGUGAAAUGCGUAGAGAUCUGGAGGAAUACCGGUGGCGAAGGCAGCCAUCUGGCCUAAUACUGACGCUGAGGUACGAAAGCAUGGGGAGCAAACAGG
rnacentral:rRNA from 1 species